AAGUCGUAACAAGGUUUCCGUAGGUGAACCUGCGGAAGGAUCAUUAGCGAAGUUCGGAAUGCCGGUUCGGUGCUGCAGCUGCCCAGCAAUGGGAUGUGCUCGUCCGGGCCGGUGUCCCUUCUCUAUUCCACCCCACUGUGAACCAAGCGUGCGAGCAGAAGAGAGUUCGGAAGCUCGCAUGCACACUUUAACAUACCCCUUAUGAAGUAUCUGAAUGUACCUUGCGUUAACUCGCACAAAUACAACUUUCAACAACGGAUCUCUUGGCUCUC
rnacentral:misc_RNA from 1 species